UAAUGUUUAUUUAACCGAAUUAACUGAAUCAAUAGUGAGUAUCAUGUUUAAGGCUCAGAUAAUGAUGAGUUUUCAAAGUUAAUAUAAUUUGAAAUAGCCACAAAAUUGAAAGUUAUGUAAUGCUAAUGUAAAUAUGAAAGGUGGAAUCAGAUUGGAUUGGAAGGGUCUUGAUCUUUUGCUGAUUCUUUAUGACCUGGAACAUUGAGUUUCAGAAUUCAAAGUCACUGGAUGCUACAAAAUAAAAAAAAAAGGAUUGAAUAGGCAAGCAAAUUCCAAAAGUAUAGUGGAACAAGGACAUUGAGCUAUAAUGGCUCUUUUAAGAUAAGGGUAGUAAAAGCACUUAAAUGAAUAACAUACCUUUAAUUUAUUCAACCUCAUGCCUUAAAUCCAUUAAAUAUAUUUCAUUAGACAUGUCUCUAAACUAGAGAUUAAUAAAAAUAAUCAAAAGUGAUUGAUAUAUUCUUUUUGACAAAUUCUUCACACUAAAUAUUGGACAAAAACAUCUAAUCUUGUAAAAGCUCACAAUAUUAGACUGAAAUUGUAAUCUUCAAUUCAUCAUAAAGCACAGUUGUCCUGCAGCAUUCUACUACCAUGAAAUUGAGAACUAAGAUUUAAUGUUUAUGAGAAGUCAGGGUAGUUUUAGACAUGCUAGCCCUCCAACCUUUUUCAUUUUCCCUAGCCACCAGUACUCAAUUCCCUUCAUAUACCUAGGAAGGGACAAAUAUUUUUUAGAGAUAAAUUAUAAGCACAUUAUAAUCCUAGUUGAAUGGAUUGACCAAAAAACUGUAAUACAUGAAAUGUUCAUUUCAAACAUGUAAAAGUACCCUUAUUCAAAGUUCAGGCAGCAGUACAUUUAUGAAGCAUUUUUCCAAAUAAAGACUACUAGGACCAAAGAAAAGGGUCUAUAAGUGAGUAAGAUCAAAUUCUCAAAUAAAAGAUAUAACUUUUAUAAUAAUUUUUUUAAUUUAAUAAAUAUCAUCCAGGUAGUUUCUACUUUCUACUCAAUUAAACUUAACAGUUUAACAAACAAAAAAGAAAUAUUUUAAAAAACCCAAAAAGAAAUCAAUAAAAAGAAACCAGAUUUAACAAACAAACACCUCAAUUAAUAGCAUCACACUUGAAGGAAAAAGGGGUUCCAGCAAUGACGUGAGCAACGACAAUGAAGAAGGUGCAUGAGUGAAGUGAUCGGACGGUGAAGGUGCGCCACUGCGUUGGGUUACUGUGGUCAGUGGUGAUUGGUGGCUGUCGGCACUCGGUAAUAGGGAGAUUUCAGAGGAAGCUAGAUAUUUGAGGAGAUGAGUGAUGACGAUGAAGAUAAAUGGGAAUGAGAUAACUGAUUAGUGAUUAGGGUUCUAGGAUUGGGGAUCUUUUUUGUUUUAGGUUAGAGAUUUUUGGGUUGGAUUAAGGUUAAUGGGGUAG
rnacentral:lncRNA from 1 species